rnacentral:rRNA from 1 species
CCUACGGGAGGCUGCAGUGGGGAAUAUUGCGCAAUGGGCGCAAGCCUGACGCAGCGACGCCGCGUGAGGGAUGAAGGUCUUCGGAUCGUAAACCUCUGUCAGCAGGGAAGAACGGUCACUGUGCUAAUCAGCAGUGAAUUGACGGUACCUGCAAAGGAAGCACCGGCUAACUCCGUGCCAGCAGCCGCGGUAAUACGGAGGGUGCGAGCGUUAAUCGGAAUUACUGGGCGUAAAGCGCUCGUAGGCGGUCUGUCAAGUCAAGGGUGAAAUCCCCGGGCUCAACGUGGGAACUGCCUUUGAAACUGGCAAGCUGGAGUGUGUGAGAGGGUAGUAGAAUUCCAGGUGUAGCGGUGAAAUGCGUAGAGAUCUGGAGGAACAUCAGUGGCGAAGGCGACUACCUGGCACAAGACUGACGCUGAGGAGCGAAAGCGUGGGUAGCAAACAGGAUUAGAUACCCGGGUAGUC